GACGAACGCUGGCGGCGUGCUUAACACAUGCAAGUCGAACGAAGUGGCGAACGGGUGAGUAACGCGUAAUCAACCUGCCCUUCAGAGGGGGACAACAGUUGGAAACGACUGCUAAUACCGCAUACUGAAGGAGGUGAUUGCGUCUGAUUAGCUAGUUGGAGGGGUAACGGCCCAACAAGGCGAUGAUCAGUAGCCGGGUUGAGAGGAGGAACGGCCACAUCUGGACGGGGACAAGGCCCAGAAUCCUACGGGAGGCAGAAGGGGGGAAAUGUCCGCAAUGGAGGAAAGUCUGACGGAGCAACGCCGCGGGAGUGAUGACGGCCUUCGGGUUGUAAAGCUCUGUUAAUCGGGACGCGGUACCGGAAUAGAAAGCCACGGCUAACUACGUGCCAGCAGCCGCGGUAAUUC
rnacentral:rRNA from 1 species